UUAAUAUUAUGCUCGAUCUCGGCUCGAACUCGUUUCAAAUCGGUUUCAAAUCGAGCUUUUAACGAUCCGAAUAGAUAAUCGGCUAGUUUGCAACCCUACCGGUAGCAAUUUGAACCCAAUAUUACAGCUUUUGUCGAUCUCCUCUACACAUAGAAAAAAAAACGCAGCUCCUUACCCUAAUCUCCGUAGAAAUCGCGCAUCUACUCCACAUCACAUCACACCUUUAACCUCCCGUCUCUGGCGCUACCGUUCGCUACCACCUCCGACGCGUCGUUCAUCACCAUCUUCGGUCGGCUCCUUUUCUUUUGCUUCUGUGAAAAAAAAACACUUUGCCCUAAUCGUUAACCUUGCUCCAUAGAAAUUGCACAUCCACUCCACAUUGCAGCACACCCUCUGAGCUCCCAUCUCCGGCGCGCCGUUCGUCACCAUCUCCGGUUUUCAUGAUGUGCUUGAUAGCGAUUUGGGGGCUAUGGAGGCUGGAAAUACACGAAGAAACAGCCUAAUAUUUAUAAUUUUUAGUUUGUGGACACAAGAUGUGAAUGUAAUUUCUAUAAAGCCAAGUUAAUGUCGGUUUCUUUUGGAAUUGUUGAUUUCAUAUUGAAAUUGGUUGAUGAAUCCUAAAAUUGUUUAUGGAUGGAAGCUUAUGAGGACGUAAGAAACAUCAAUACAUGAAUCGAUUCUAGUUUCUUGAGGUUGAACGAUGAAUAAUAACAUUUGACUUUUCUGUUUUGGUCAAACAUGGAGUUAGAGUAAAAUACCAACUAAUGGUAAUCAUGAGCAACUUUAGAAGCUUGAAAUUGAUGUAAAAACACAAAUAUGUUGCUAUGAUCUUCAUGAACUUGAUAACUUGUUAUUUUUAGAAACUUUGUUGAAAGUAAAUUGUCAAAAUGGGUAUAAGACAGACUAAUUACAAAGGGGGUUGACAACCUAACCUUGAAGAGAAAGUACAUUACUAAAAAUGUGAUUGUCAGUAUUGAAGGUUUGAUGCAAAUAUCUUUUUAUUUAAUUAUUAAUUCUAUUUUGUUGUGUUUCAGGCUUAUGUAUGCACACAAAGCAGAAAACCAUAAGUGCUACAACUUAGGUGCCUUUCUUGGGUCUUCAUCCAAGAGUUUAAGAGCUAUAAAAAGUUAUACUUCCGUAUAGAUUUGCUCGUGUAAGUGGACACCUAUUUUUAUGAUUUUUUUAUAUAUAAACUAAGUACAAGUAAUAUCUUGUACCAAGUAGGAUAAUACAUUCAAAAUGUAUUGUAUUUGUAUGAAUUGUAUUGGUUUGUAUUUAAGUUAUUUUUAUGAAAUAAAUUGAGUAAAUGCAAAGUACAAUCAUAUAACCAAAAACGUAUAUUGUAAUGUUUA